UCUUUAGAUGGAUCAGACGUUGGGGAAUAUGUAAUCGGUGGUGCAGAAUACCCUCUUCUCCCCUGGCUCCUGACACCUUAUAACCAGCUGGAAAAGGAGGAUCACUCAAACUUCCCUGAUCAAGUCGAGUUCAACAGGAGACACUCUGCAGCCCGAACUGUCACAUUGAAGGCGAUGGCAAGGUUUCAAGACACAUAUAAGUGGUUGUACAGAGGGACGUGGCACCCGAAAAGUCCUGGUAAUGCAAUUUGGGCGUGCUUGUUGUUGCAGAACAUAGUGAUAGACAUGGAGGAAGGUGAAGGUGCACCGUUCAGUGAGGAGUCAGAU
rnacentral:rRNA from 1 species